AUUGAACGCUGGCGGCAGGCUUAACACAUGCAAGUCGAACGAGCGGCGGACGGGUGAGUAAUGUCUGGGAAACUGCCCGAUGGAGGGGGAUAACUACUGGAAACGGUAGCUAAUACCGCAUACCAUCGGAUGUGCCCAGAUGGGAUUAGCUAGUAGGUGGGGUAAAGGCUCACCUAGGCGACGAUCCCUAGCUGGUCUGAGAGGAGGACCAGCCACACGGGGACUGAGACACGGUCCAGACUCCUACGGGAGGCAGCAGUGGGGAAUAUUGGACAAUGGGCGAAAGCCUGAUGCAGCCAUGCCGCGUGUAUGAAGAAGGCCUUCGGGUUGUAAAGUACUUUCGGCAGGGAGGCGGUACCUGCAGAAUAAGCACCGGCUAACUCCGUGCCAGCAGCCGCGGUAAUUC
rnacentral:rRNA from 1 species